AGAGAAUGCCAUCGAAUACUUUAGGUGCGCCGGAUUAAACGCCAGUGUCCUCAACCUGCUGCACCCUGAGGAGAAAUGAACAUGGAACAAUCGCUUAUCCUACACAGGCUCAUGGGGGAGCCUAUCACAGGGAACUCGGGGGCAUCCUGCACCGGAUGCCAAUCAUCGCAGGGUGGAAACCCUCGAAGCACGGGAGAACAUGCAAACUCAGAGCAGAGGUGCGAUUCGAACCGCCAGCCCUGGAGGUGCGAGCGGUGUAAUUUACCAACUCCUCGUUAUCAAUGGUGACGCGAAGUCCUUGCAGCAUGGUGAUGAAGAUAGUAAUAUUUUCUCUGUUGGAUGAAACGUUGCCAAACUUCAGGGCUAAGUUUUUCAAACUGCUCUCUGCUG